GACAGAGGCCCCGAGCGUUAAUCGGAAUUACUGGGCUUAAAGGGUGCGUAGGCGGACUCUUAAGUCGGGGGUGAAAUCCUGGAGCUCAACUCCAGAACUGCCUUCGAUACUGGGAGUCUUGAGUUCGGGAGAGGUGAGUGGAACUGCGAGUGUAGAGGUGAAAUUCGUAGAUAUUCGCAAGAACACCAGUGGCGAAGGCGGCUCACUGGCCCGAUACUGACGCUGAGGUGCGAAAGCGUGGGGAGCAAACAGG
rnacentral:rRNA from 1 species